UACAGAGGGGGCAAGCGUUAUUCGGAAUUAUUGGGCGUAAAGGGCGCGUAGGCGGCUUGUUGCGUCGACCGUGAAAACCCACAGCUCAACUGUGGGCUUGCGGUUGAUACGGGCGGGCUGGAGUUCGGUAGGGGAGACUGGAAUUCCUGGUGUAGCGGUGAAAUGCGCAGAUAUCAGGAAGAACACCUAUGGCGAAGGCAGCUCUCUGGGACGGUACUGACGCUGAGACGCGAAGGCGUGGGGAGCGAACAGG
rnacentral:rRNA from 1 species